AAUAAGUACUAUUUUACACUAUUCACGUUCAACGUUUGACCGUUCAUCUUAUUUGAAAAAUUUAUAUGAUUAGUAUUUUUAUUGCUAUUAGAAGAUAAAACGUGAAUAGUACUUUAUGUGUGACUAAAUAUUUUUAAAUUUUUUAUAAAUUUUUUAAAUAAGAUGGACGGUCAAACGUUGGACACGGAUAUCUACGGCUGCACUUAUU
rfam:Oryza glumipatula chromosome 4, whole genome shotgun sequence.